rnacentral:lncRNA from 1 species
UCCUAUCAUAAUGUAAAAAUAACAAUACGAUGUAAGAUAACUAUUUAGUAAAAUAUAUGGUAGGUGAUCGGAAUAUUUUUCUGGGUUUAGUGUCUCAUUAUGCUUUCCCGUGCUUGGUAGAUAAUGGUAAAAGUACAUAUUUGUUCGAUCCAGAACAUCUUAUGGGAAGAAAUAAUUUUUAGUUCAUGAACGUUAGUUUUCAAUUUAUGUCUACUAAAUUAUUCGUAUAUUCUAUGAUUGGAUCAAGUUGUUGAAUAUUGAAUGUCGAAAAUCACCAUCAGCCCCCACAGUUAAACCAAAGAACUGAUUAU